rnacentral:rRNA from 1 species
CCUACGGGAGGCAGCAGUGGGGAAUAUUGCACAAUGGGGGGAACCCUGAUGCAGCGACGCCGCGUGGGUGAAGAAGCGCCUCGGCGCGUAAAGCCCUGUCAGCAGGGAAGAAAAUGACGGUACCUGAAGAAGAAGCCCCGGCUAACUACGUGCCAGCAGCCGCGGUAAU